UCUUGUGCUGCUAGGCUUAUUUCCAGUUCCUUUAGGAGGAGACUCCCCUUGAUUUUUUUUUUAUAGCUACAGCUGCCCUUGGCCUAUGACCUCAUGAGGAAGCUGGCUGAUUCCUUUGGCCUAUUUUCAGCUGUUUGGAUUAUUUGAUUCAAGAUGCUUCUUUGUACUUGCUCAAGCAAAGCACUUGCUGCCUGGCAUGAAAGCUACUACAUACUGUUUGCCCAUCUAGCUAAAGAUUGCCUACCAGCCACCUGCCUCUGAGUUCUUUCUCUUCCUGGGGCUGCACAGUGCCCAGGUUUGCCUGGCUGUCAUUGAAACUCUCAGCCCAGGGUGGUAGAAACAAUAUUAUACCCAGCCAACUCAGUUCAGAUCCAGAAGCCAAAGCUGGGAUGUUGAGUCACAAGUGAGGCGCAUGCGAAUUAGGUAUAUGUGACCUGAGAGUAGGAUGAGCUGGUUUUAGUUCAUUUUAUAGACAGGAAGGUGGGCUCAGAGUUUAAGUGACUGGCCUGAACUCACACAGCUAGUUCAUUGAAAAGCCAGGAUUGGAAAUGAGCUCAGUGUCUCUUUCUGCUGUGUUCUCCACCUGUCCAAACUUGAGGCCUUACUGGCCUUGACCCUGUCCCGUGUCUCAGGAGAUGAGCUGACUUGGAGCUGAGCUGUGAGGCUGGCAUAGUCCUUGCAACAGGAGGGAUGGUGCAUCCACCCCUCUUCCAGCCCUGUGCUCAUCGAUUGUUGACCGCGCUUCUCUCAGAAGCUGUCCCAGAAGUGCCAUUAGCAUCCGAGAGCCAAGGUGGAAGCAGGUACCUCUGGGGAAGGGGAGGUGGCCUGGGGUGGAGCCACAGCCUUGGGAGUAGCCCUAGCUUGCCCUGCCCGGCCCACACCGCCAGUCUGGCUUCAGGUAGGAAUAAGCCCAGAAAGGGGUGGGUCCAGGCAGUCGACUGUUUUCUCCAUUUGCCUACAAAAUGCUGAGUGUUGUCCUCUGAGCCUUGGUGAGCGCUGGUGACGCAGCUUUUCUGAAAAGCACAUUCUGUUGAUGGCUCCAGAAUUGUCUUCUAAGCUGCAGAUACCCAUUCUGUGAGAUCUGAUGCUGGGCUCUGCUGACCUUACCCUGACGGCCCUAUCGCAGCUGCCACCUACCGGCCGUCAUUGUGAGACGCAGGAGUUCACACCUGAGAGGAUGUGGGUGUCUUAGAAGCUCCGCAGUACUUGGAAGGAGGCAGUGCUGUGCUUGGAUGCUUGUCAGACUUCGAAUAGAUUAUGUUGCUUUACUUCUUGAAUGAAGCUUCAUGACAUCCAGUCAGUAGGGAGGAAGUCCAUUAUUGGGCUUUGUUGAAAAAAUAAAGACCUCAGUGUUGUAAUGAAUCAAACAUGAAUUUCUAGUCUUGGUAAGGGUUGAGGGACAUGGUCACACUUUUUGUAUGUUAUACACACGUACAGUAAUUACAGUUAACAUUGUCUUUGGAAACUGACCUCAUGCCAAUAUACCCUUAUUGAUAGUUUCCUAUGAGAUUUCUGACCAUCGUAUGAACGCUUCACAUGAUUUGCUAGAUUCCCAAACGGUACGAGGCUACACAAGGAAGGGGACUGCCCUGCCUGGCUGGUCCUGACAGCUGGCACAGGAAAUGGCAUUCUAGCAAACGCUCAGAAUUCGGUGUUGUGACGUCGCAGAAUGACUAGGAACCGUUUGUGUACAGGAACUCACCUUGGGUCUCAGUCACAGGCUUCACUCACUCUUGCUUGGGACUUGUGGGAGGAGGGAAUCCACUUUCUAGAUUCGAGCCAAUGGCCUGUUCUGGCUUGGUUUAUUUUUUAGGGGGGGGUCAGGAUGGGACAGGAAGUGGUGCUCCCUUGACAACUUUGAGCUCUCCUCUUCCCCAGUGUUGUUCUGGCAACAUUGGCAUCCAGGGCCACGGGUCAGUCACAGGCAGAGCCGCAGGGAUGGCUGGCUGUGAAAACAAGUUACAAUUUGGUCUUCUGGCUCCACUUCAUUUUAGCUUAAGUUUUCAGGGAUGGGAAACUUGGUGACAGAAAGGAAGUGUGACAGGGUUCUAGAGUCUUUCUGAUGUCAGAAUUAUACCCUCGGGUGGGUCAGACUAGGAACACUAGUUGUGUUACCCCUACCCAAGCAAUUUAAAGUAAUCCCCUGGAGUGUAUGCAUUAAAAAGGAAGCACCCUGAUGUGGCAAGGGCAGGCAGGGCAUUCAUUAGCAUGAAAGCUCCACGUUAAAACCCCCAUCUCACUGCAUGUGAACUUUAUCUUAGCAAAAUGUUAAGGCUUUCCCAAUCUGGCCUGGAUUCCUUCUCACGACGAACCGCUCUUGCUGGGUGGAAUCCAGCCAGCUUGAGGCUGACACAUAGCUUGGCUCCCACGAACUGUCUUCCUUGUGCUUUGAAUGCCCAGCAGAGGCUUUAUGAGCUCCCUUCCUUUAGACUGCGAAACAGUGGUUUGGCAAAGAGUGAGCUUCCUUCUAGUUGGCAUUUCUGGAGUCGGGAACUGAAAUCGGUCCAUGCAGAUGGUGUGCUUCUCCUUAUGGGCCGGGUAGCUGGAAACCAGUGACUUUAACACCAGUUAAACCAGCCAAGUGGGGAAGCAUUCUUCCUUUUUGAAAAAUACCAGCCUCUGAAUUCCACAAACACCUGGACUGAGAUCCUGAAUUUAAGGAUGAGAACACAUCAUGAAACAUGGUAACAGCAACUCACCCUUUUCCCCCUUGGUAGUGACAUGGGAGAAAUGGAGUAAUUUUGCCCAUGUUUUUACAUUCCCACCACUGCCAAGAAGCCUGGAUAUAUACCUUAUACCACCAGAAUCAGCCUCAGAAUAUUAUGGCGUAACUAAAAAAUCCAGCAUUUUCUCUGUGGUUUUGUGCUCCCUUAGUUACUGCUCAGGCCCAUCCUAAUUGGCCCACACUCAUGAGGCUGCCCUUGGGUCUUAUCACUGAAUCCUCCCAAAAUCAUUUUCAGUGUGUAUACUGCCUGGAAUUGCAGUCUGAAACGUCUCAGAUCUCUUAAAAUACUCAUCCAGUAAACAGCAACUGAACCCCCCUGCAAGGCUGCACCUGCAGCCCCCAAAGGCCCCCUUUUCUAUUAACAGUCGGGUCUCCAGCCCCCGUGGCCCUUUCCUUCCCAGUGCAUCUUCACACAGAGAGGCCGCUGGUGAGAUAAGACUUGUAGCCAAGACUGCCCGGAGAAUUAGCCUGUCAUCUGAUGCUUUUUGGGGAGUGCAGGGCCCUCAGAAAAAGUGGGCCUGGCAGUCAGCAUUUUAAGUCUGUGUAACUCCCAACCUCCCAUCGGAUCAUAGAGGGGAAAUGAGAACAGAAGGUGAGAAAACAUUCCACGUUCACGUUUAUUCUUGUUUAUUGAGGUCUGUUUAUUCUUAACGGGUGCUUUUUCCUCCAAGUAAAUAGAGCAGGCGUAAAUAUCUAUAAUGAAUAAAUUUAUUGUCUUACAAAAAUCAUUGUCUAGAAAUAUGGGAAUACAAGAAAAGAUAUUUGCAGUCAGGUGUCUGGUGGUCAACAGCCAGUACAAUUCAUAAAGGGGUAAAAUCAAAGAUUCCAAACCCACAUGAUAAAUUCUUCCUAAUGAUGUUAAAGCUUUUAACCCAAAAGGUUUGUGUUUUCAAGCACGUUGCAGAGGAUCAGGGAUUUAUAUUUAACACUGAUUCAUUGUCACCGAAUGUUUAUAAUACCACUUUGACUAGAGAGGUACAUGAUAUGAA